rnacentral:tRNA from 1 species
GGGGCUGUAGCUCAGCUGGUAGAGCGCUUGCCUAGCAUGUGUGAGGCACUGGGUUCAAUCCUCAGCACCA